CAGUGUCAGAAAUGGCUGAGGCUAGAAACGAUGGAAACACGCCUCCUGCGCUUAGCAACAUCGACACAUUGCCGAGCGCAAGCAGUGAAAGUUCGGAUAAUCAUUCGCCUUCUCUGUUGGACAUUGAUUGGACUUCCGAUGGAACUUGGAAUGUGGAUUGGAGCCUGCCACAGGGCCCUGCCUGCAACACACCCUGGUACUAU
rnacentral:misc_RNA from 1 species